ACGGGUGAGUAACGCGUGGGAAUCUACCGUGCCCUGCGGAAUAGCUCCGGGAAACUGGAAUUAAUACCGCAUACGCCCUACGGGGGAAAGAUUUAUCGGGGUAUGAUGAGCCCGCGUUGGAUUAGCUAGUUGGUGGGGUAAAGGCCUACCAAGGCGACGAUCCAUAGCUGGUCUGAGAGGAUGAUCAGCCACAUUGGGACUGAGACACGGCCCAAACUCCUACGGGAGGCAGCAGUGGGGAAUAUUGGACAAUGGGCGCAAGCCUGAUCCAGCCAUGCCGCGUGAGUGAUGAAGGCCUUAGGGUUGUAAAGCUCUUUCACCGGAGAAGAUAAUGACGGUAUCCGGAGAAGAAGCCCCGGCUAACUUCGUGCCAGCAGCCGCGGUAAUACGAAGGGGGCUAGCGUUGUUCGGAAUUACUGGGCGUAAAGCGCACGUAGGCGGAUAUUUAAGUCAGGGGUGAAAUCCCAGAGCUCAACUCUGGAACUGCCUUUGAUACUGGGUAUCUUGAGUAUGGAAGAGGUAAGUGGAAUUGCGAGUGUAGAGGUGAAAUUCGUAGA
rnacentral:rRNA from 1 species